rnacentral:SRP_RNA from 1 species
GCUGAGCUAGGUCAUGCUAGCUUGUAACCCAAAUGGGAGUAUUAAGAUAAUGGUAUAUGGUGUGGGCUUGUACUGACAUGGGCUAUGGAAUCUAAUAUGAAUAGAGCUUCCUGCACCUUCGACUCGAGGUAUGACAUGCUUUCCAUUCUCAGCCUCUAAGGAACAGGUCGGACAUUGAUUUUAUGCAAUCUAUGAUGUGUGCAUAUUAAUCACCAAUCUGGGUCCAAAUCAUAAACUCUUAUCUUU